ACAAAAGUCCAAAGUCACACAUUCCAAAUCUAUAUAUUCUUCACUGUAAUAUUUUCAGUUUUCACAUCAGCUGACAAAACUGUACAAACAGUGAAUGAUUUUGUUGAGUUUGUUUGUCUCAGAGUCAGAGAGCCGUGUCUCUGUGCAGUCAGAGGUUUUUGUACGGCGGCUCAGUGAGUUUGUAUCACUGUGGCUCACGUUUGGUGGAGGAACCAGACUGGAUGUUGGAAGUGAUGUGCGCCCCGCCCUGAAGGUGCUGGGUCCCUCCAGUGAGGAGCUGCAGCAGGGGAAGGCCACGCUCAUGUGGCUGGCCAACAAGGGCUUCCCCUCAGACUGGAGGCUGUCCUGGAAGAUGGACGGCAGCAGUGGCAGCAUCAGAGGGGAGGAGAGCAGGACUCCCGCAGUGCUGCACAAUGACGGCCGCUACAGCUGGAGCAGCACCCUGACACUCACUGCAGACCAGUGGGGGAAGGUGGGCUCUGUGACCUGUGAGGCCACCCAGGGCUCCCAGGCUCCGGUCUCAGAGACACUGAGGAGAGACCAGUGUUCCCAGUCCUGAUGUGACUCAGUCUGAUGCUGGUUUAAAGCUCCUGCUUUCAUUCUGUGCUCUUUAACAAUCUCACUCUCUCUUCAUCCUUGUUGUGUUUGUUGCUUUUCGUAGAGUUGAUGUUUGUAAGGUUUUUCAAAUAAUAAAUAUCU